rnacentral:tRNA from 1 species
GCUGCUUUGUCAGAUAAUAUGUACUAGAUUUAGGAUCUAGUUAAAUAGAGGAGAAUUCUAUAGGCAGUA